rnacentral:lncRNA from 1 species
CCCGCCCGCCCGACCGCCCGCCGUACAUCCCCAAAUCAAUAACCGACGUUUUUGUCACAAAAAUCCGGUUAAAAAUUGGAAAUGAGUUGUGUCAUGAAUUUUCCGUUAGGGUGCUUUGGUGUUUUUUUAGGUAGAUAUGUAGGCAAUAUCAAAUAAUUUUGUAAAUUUCAUUUUUGGCCUGAGGUAUGAUUUUUAAAAGUACAUCAAUGAAUACAAGUUUCAAUGCAUUUACAGACUAUUAACAAUUUGAUAUUCUUACUAGUUAGUUGUCUCUAAGCAAACCCUAUCAAUAUGCAUAAAAUUUAAUACAAGUAUUACAUACAAAAUAAAUA